CCAGACUCCUACGGGAGGCAGCAGUAGGGAAUUUUGCGCAAUGGACGAAAGUCUGACGCAGCAACGCCGCGUGGGUGAUGAAGGUCUUCGGAUCGUAAAACCCUGUCGUCAGGGACGAAGGUUGCAUGCCUAACAGGUGUGUAACUUGACGGUACCUGGAGAGGAAGCCCCGGCUAACUCUGUGCCAGCAGCCGCGGUAAUACAGAGGGGGCAAGCGUUAUUCGGAAUUAUUGGGCGUAAAGGGCGCGUAGGCGGUGAUUUAAGUGAGAUGUGUAAUCCCUGGGCUUAACCUGGGAACUGCAUCUCAGACUGGAUCGCUAGAGUGCUGGAGAGGGUGGUAGAAUUCCACGUGUAGCGGUGAAAUGCGUAGAGGUGUGGAGGAAUACCAGUGGCGAAGGCGGCCACCUGGACAGUAACUGACGCUGAGGCGCGAAAGUGUGGGUAGCAAACAGGAUUAGAUACCCUGGUAGUCCACGCUGUAAACGAUGAACACUUGGUGUGGUGGGGAGUUGACCCCUGCCGUGCCGUAGCUAACGCGAUAAGUGUUCCGCCUGGGGAGUACGGUCGCAAGGCUG
rnacentral:rRNA from 1 species